rnacentral:rRNA from 1 species
AACGAACGCUGGCGGCAUGCCUAACACAUGCAAGUCGAACGAGACCUUCGGGUCUAGUGGCGCACGGGUGCGUAACGCGUGGGAACCUGCCCUUAGGUUCGGAAUAACUCCCCGAAAGGGGUGCUAAUACCGGAUAAUGUCUUCGGACCAAAGAUUUAUCGCCUUUGGAUGGGCCCGCGUUGGAUUAGCUAGUUGGUAGGGUAAAAGCCUACCAAGGCGACGAUCCAUAGCUGGUCUGAGAGGAUGAUCAGUCACACUGGGACUGAGACACGGCCCAGACUCCUACGGGAGGCAGCAGUGGGGAAUAUUGGACAAUGGGCGAAAGCCUGAUCCAGCAAUGCCGCGUGAGUGAUGAGGGCCUUAGGGUUGUAAAGCUCUUUUACCCGGGAUGAUAAUGACAGUACCGGGAGAAUAAGCUCCGGCUAACUCCGUG